GGCUUACCAACCCAAUGCAAACUGCGAAUACCGAAGAAUGUUAUCACGGGAGACACACGGCGGGUGCUAACGUCCGUCGUGAAGAGGGAAACAACCCAGACCGCCAGCUAAGGUCCCAAAGUCAUGGUUAAGUGGGAAACGAUGUGGGAAGGCAUAGACAGCCAGGAUGUUGGCUUAGAAGCAGCCAUCAUUUGAAGAAAGCGUAAUAGCUCACUGGUCGAGUCGGCCUGCGCGGAAGAUGUAACGGGGCUAAACCAUGCACCGAAGCUGCGGCAGCGGCGCGCAAGCGUUGUUGGGUAGGGGAGCGUUCUGUAAGCCGUCGAAGGUGAGCUGUGAGGCUUGCUGGAGGUAUCAGAAGUGCGAAUGCUGACAUAAGUAACGAUAAAGCGGGUGAAAAGCCUGCUCGCCGGAAGACCAAGGGUUCCUGUCCAACGUUAAUCGGGGCAGGGUGAGUCGACCCCUAAGGCGAGGCCGAAAGGCGUAGUCGAUGGGAAACGGGUUAAUAUUCCCGUACUCGGUGUUACUGCGAAGGGGGGACGGAGAAGGCUAUGUUAGCCGGGCGACGGUUGUCCCGGUUUAAGCAUGUAGGCGGAGAGUUUAGGUAAAUCCGGACUCUUAUCAACGCUGAGGUGUGAUGACGAGGCAUUACGGUGCUGAAGUAACAAAUGCCCUGCUUCCAGGAAAAGCCUCUAAGCAUCAGGUAACAUCGAAUCGUACCCCAAACCGACACAGGUGGUCAGGUAGAGAAUACCAAGGCGCUUGAGAGAACUCGGGUGAAGGAACUAGGCAAAAUGGUGCCGUAACUUCGGGAGAAGGCACGCUGUCGAUAGGUGAAACCCCUCGCGGGUGGGAGCUGAAGGCAGUCGAAGAUACCAGCUGGCUGCAACUGUUUAUUAAAAACACAGCACUGUGCAAACACGAAAGUGGACGUAUACGGUGUGACGCCUGCCCGGUGCCGGAAGGUUAAUUGAUGGGGUUAUCCGCAAGGAGAAGCUCUUGAUCGAAGCCCCGGUAAACGGCGGCCGUAACUAUAACGGUCCUAAGGUAGCGAAAUUCCUUGUCGGGUAAGUUCCGACCUGCACGAAUGGCGUAAUGAUGGCUAGGCUGUCUCCACCCGAGACUCAGUGAAAUUGAACUCGCUGUGAAGAUGCAGCGUACCCGCGGCAAGACGGAAAGACCCCGUGAACCUUUACUACAGCUUGACACUGAACAUUGAGCCUUGAUGUGUAGGAUAGGUGGGAGGCUUUGAAGCGUGGACGCCAGUCUGCGUGGAGCCAACCUUGAAAUACCACCCUUUAACGUUUGAUGUUCUAACCUAGCGCCGUAAUCCGGCGCGGGGACAGUGUCUGGUGGGUAGUUUGACUGGGGCGGUCUCCUCCUAAAGAGUAACGGAGGAGCACGAAGGUUAGCUAAUCACGGUCGGACAUCGUGAGGUUAGUGCAAUGGCAUAAGCUAGCUUGACUGCGAGAGUGACGGCUCAAGCAGGUGCGAAAGCAGGUCAUAGUGAUCCGGUGGUUCUGAAUGGAAGGGCCAUCGCUCAACGGAUAAAAGGUACUCCGGGGAUAACAGGCUGAUACCGCCCAAGAGUUCAUAUCGACGGCGGUGUUUGGCACCUCGAUGUCGGCUCAUCACAUCCUGGGGCUGAAGUGGGUCCCAAGGGUACGGCUGUUCGCCGUUUAAAGUGGUACGCGAGCUGGGUUUAGAACGUCGUGAGACAGUUCGGUCCCUAUCUGCCGUGGGCGCUGGAGAAUUGAGAGGGGUUGCUCCUAGUACGAGAGGACCGGAGUGAACGCACCACUGGUAUUCGGGUUGUCAUGCCAAUGGCACUGCCCGGUAGCUAAGUGCGGAAAAGAUAAGCGCUGAAAGCAUCUAAGCGCGAAACUUGCCUCGAGAUGAAUUCUCCCUAGGUCCUUGAGACCUCUGAAGGGACGUUGAAGACUACGACGUUGAUAGGCCGGGUGUGUAAGCGCAGCGAUGCGUUGAGCUAACCGGUACUAAUGACCCGUGAGGCUUAAUC
rnacentral:rRNA from 1 species